CUCAGAAAUUAUUAAGAGUAUUGUCUGCCCAGUGACUGAUUGGUUUAACGGCCGCGUAUUAGUGCUAAGGUAGCAUAAUAAUUUGCCUUUUUAUUGAAGGCUAGUAUGAAUGGCAUAACGAAGCUUAACUGUCUCUAACUAUAUAAAAAAAAUUAGUAAAAAAGUGAAAAAACUUUUUUAUUAUUGAAGGACGAAAAGACCCUAUAGAGCUUUAAUAUAAUUAGUAAAUUAAGUUUAAAAAGAAAACUGUAUUAACCUAUAUAUUUUUAUUGGGGCAAUAGAGAAAAAAUUUAACACGUAAUUUUGUUAUAACAAACAAAAAAACCUCAAAGAGAAUAAAUAUAAGCUACCUUAGGGAUAACAGCGUAAUCUUACCAGAGAGACCUAAUCAAAGGAAAGGUUUACGACCUCGAUGUUGGACUAAGAAAACCUGGAGGUGUAGAAGCCUUUAAAAGUUGGCCUGUUCGGCCAUUAA
rnacentral:rRNA from 1 species